rnacentral:rRNA from 1 species
GCCUACGGGGCGCAGCAGUGGGGAAUAUUGCGCAAUGGGCGAAAGCCUGACGCAGCGACGCCGCGUGAGGGAUGAAGGUCUUCGGAUCGUAAACCUCUGUCAGCAGGGAAGAACGGUCACUGUGCUAAUCAGCAGUGAAUUGACGGUACCUGCAAAGGAAGCACAGGCUAACUCCGUGCCAGCAGCCGCGGUAAUACGGAGGGUGCGAGCGUUAAUCGGAAUUACUGGGCGUAAAGCGCUCGUAGGCGGUAUGUCAAGUCAAGGGUGAAAUCCCCGCGCUCAACGUGGGAACUGCAUUUGACACU